rnacentral:rRNA from 1 species
GGUACAGAGUGGCGAGGGUGGUGUGUAGUACGGAGGGGUGUGGGGUUGUCUGUGUUUAGUGUGAGUAAAGGGCGGGUAGGCGGCCAGGGAGGUCCGUUGUGGAAACGCGAGGCGCAACCUCGAGACGUCGGUGGAAACCCGCUGGCUAGAGUCCGGAAGAGGAGAGUGGAAUUCCUGGUGUAGCGGUGAAAUGCGCAGAUAUCAGGAAGAACACCCGUGGCGAAGGCGGAUCUCUGGGACGGUACUGACGCUGAGACGCGAAAGCGUGGGGAGCAAACAGGAUUAGAUACCCGGGUAGUC